AGGACAGCCAGUUUCCAUUAUGUAAUGGUGCCGGAGUACCCAGAUCUAGAUCUAUAUAUAUACACAUCUCCCUUACUAGAUCUAGAUGGAUCUGAAAGUCGGAGGCAGUCUCUAAUUGGCCCGUCCAGGCUCUGCGAGUGUCUUCGCCUCUGACAUUUCUGAAGCUCUUCUUCUUCUUCUUUAGCUUCAGAGGCGAAUACACUCUCAGGAUCUACACGGUCGCCACCUUUAUCUCUCUCUCUCUCUCUCUUCGUCUUCUCAAAUCCGUCAUGGAAAAGGGUUUGCUACUUCUGCUUUUUUGUUGUUUGCCUAAAUUGAAGUUGAAAUUGAAAUUAUUCAUAUACAUAUUUUGCACGCUGUUUAAUCCUUAGUCGGAUCUGUACUCGUAGUUAAUCUAAUCUUCUUGACCCUGGUACCGAGUCUUCAGAUCUGAAUUGAAUUAUCAGGGAUGAAGGGAAGUGUUUAUCAGGAAAAUUAUUUUUGACCAGAUCAACUAGCAUAAGAGUUACCUGUAGCAGAUGUACAUGAUUGGUGGGAUUCCCAAAAGAGUUUGAACGAUGAAGUUGAACGUGUUGUUGUCUUGUUUUGGUCUUAUAUGACACCGGGAUAGUCAUAGAUAAAUUAUUGGUCUAAAUAGCCCGGCUUUAGGUGGCUGAGACAAUUUUUGGAUGACUACGAUGAUUAGUACACAUGUAGCCAUGUAGGCCAUUACAACCUAGGAAAUUACUACAUAAUGAGCACAUUUGUGGACAGGUUUUUGGAGUAUAUAUGUAGGUUUCCGCACAUAGAAUUAUAUUUUGAACUUGGGUGUGCUUUUAUAGAAAAUGGGCAAUGACAGGAACUGGAAAUUUUGUGAUAUGGAAUUGAGUUUGCCUGCUGACUCUUCUGAGUUCUGACCAGUACAACAUAGCUAAGCAUUUCCUGGGAAAAUUUUUGGCACUUGCAAUAACAGAUCAAGUUGGCAAUUAAUGAGACAUUGUAUGAGCCUGUCAUACAUGAGUUAUUUCAAUUUUUAUUUCAGAGACUUCUGCAGAGGUUCAAUAAGAUAUUUAAUUGCCCCCUUAAUUUCUAAUGAACUUUAUUGUAUACUCCAUGUGUGUAUUUGAAAGUAAGAAUAUGUCAAGUCACACAAUUUUAUACCCUUUUCCCUUAUUUGAAUCUUUGCUUUGCUAGAUAGAUCGACAUGGCUUUCAUAUAUAUAUUGUGACAUCAAAUCUACUUCUGUAUCUUCUUGCUCAACUCUGGAUUCAGCGCGCCUUAAAACGAUCAUAUAAGUUGAUGAGAUUUGAAUAUUUGAAAGUAAGAAUAUGUCAAGUCACACAAUUUUCUACCUUUUCCCAUAUUUGAAUCUUUGCUUUGCUAGAUAGAUCGAUAUGACUUUCAUAUAUAUUGUGACAUCAAAUCUACUUCUUUAUCUUCUUGCUCAACUCUGGAUUCAGCGUGCCUUAAAACGAUCAUAUAAGUUGAGGAGAUUUGAAUAUAGGUGUUCAAGGGAAAAAAGGGGUCUUCCCAUUCAUAUAGUGAACUUGCAUGUGUUAGAAUAAUCUCAAUGAGAGUGUAUUAUGAAACAAGAUACAUAGUUUGUUUUUUUGGGUACACAACAAUAUUACUCUUGCAACUCAUGAACACCAAGACAAUAGAUUUGAAAGAAAUGUUGUAAAUGACAUUGAAAUAAAGAGAUUGAAAUUUUUUGCUUGUGUAUUCUUUCAUUCCAUUUUAUGCUUACAUCCUUUGCUGAAUUGUUGUGUAUGGUGAAUCCAUGUAUGUUUAGAAGUACUGGAAAGAUGAGUGGCUUGAUAUGCAGCAGUACUCAGGGCCUUUGUCUUGAUGUAUUGGCUUCUGGUUUUGCUUGGCCUACUGCACAAACAUUAUGCUGUGGAGCUUUAUCCCUCUUGUGGCUUGUAGUAGAAAGAUAGGCAUUAGCAUGCUUGUGAGUGGAGUGCAGCAUGUCUGCAGUCUAGUCUGGUUACUCAAAUAGAGCAGAAUGCGUUGGCUGUUUGUCCUUUGCAUUGCUUUUGAAUCUUACUAGUUACUUCUCCAUCAUUCCCGGUACGAGGCCUUACAUUACCCAUCUAGAUACUCAAGCUGAAAGUCCCUCCGAAAGUCAAAUGCGCUCUCCUUGUAGUACUGCUCCUGUCACACUUGAAACUCUUGAUCAGAAUGAAGGAUUCCCUUGAUUUCAGCAUGGAACUAAAAUACACAGUAUCGAAUCUCUUCAUAGUUUCAUUGAGCAGCUGUGAGUUGUUAUUUCCACAACUUGAUUGGCAGAUUCGUUUUGCAGAAGCUGCAAAGUUGUACAUCUAUGUUCGUGUCAUUGUAAAUCCCAUCUCUGAAUGUAGCGCAGCGAGCAAGUCCGAUGGUGUGAGCAGCUGAGAGGACUACUGAGUGUUUGAGGUUGAGGCGAUGGGAUGGAAAGCUAGAUUUCCACUGUGAGAAGCUGAAAAGUGGAGCAGGUUGGUUUCUGUGCGUGUCAUUCGUGCCUUGUGUUCGUGCAUCGCUUCUGCCUAGCAGUACAUUGUAUGAAGGACUUGGAACACAUAUGCAGGUGGAAAAAGUUGAAAAAGUUAUCAGAAAUUGUAUUGACGGUCCAAACUGACUUGAGAUAUUAGUAGAUCCUACAUACAGUAAAAUGCACUGGCAUUGUAUAUUUUCAUUAGGAUAAAUGGCUCUAGCAAAUAAUAACAUUAUUGAAAGAGGCAAGUUAUGAUUAAAAUAAAAAAAUCAUUUUUUGAGGCU